rnacentral:rRNA from 1 species
ACCCUACGGGGCGCAGCAGUGGGGAAUAUUGCACAAUGGGGGGAACCCUGAUGCAGCGACGCCGCGUGGGCGAUGGAGUAUUUCGGUAUGUAAAGCCCUAUCGGCAGGGAAGAAGCUGACAGUACCUGACUAAGAAGCCCCGGCUAACUACGUGCCAGCAGCCGCGGUAAUACGUAGGGGGCAAGCGUUAUCCGGAUUCACUGGGCGUAAAGGGAGCGCAGGCGGCACGGCAAGCCUGGGGUGAGAACCCGGGGCCCAACCCCGGGAAGGCAUUGGGAACUGCCGGCCU